GCAUGUGAGUUCAAUCUGGCUGAGACAUCUGUCACCCCAUUGAACGCCAGGGUUGAUUUGGCUGAUGUGGCUGGCUAGGCGGGUGUUCCCUUCCUCCCUUAGGGCUCCAUGUGUGCCCCUCCCAAAGCUGCGCAAUCAGUCGAAGAGCAGGACUUGUCUUCAGUGAAGGGUAUAUGAGUAACUGUGCUCCUCUGCUAGAACCUCCAAACAAACUCUUAGGCUAGACUCUUAUGUCAGACACACAACCAAUGAUAGAAAUCCACGUGCCCAGGUCACAU
ensembl:misc_RNA 7SK 7SK RNA